rnacentral:lncRNA from 1 species
GCAUCAUAUUAUUGGAAUGGAGACAGAUUGAAGUGCAGCCAACACUGCAUGGUGCUUCUCGCAAGAGCUGACCCAUUGCUGUUUUUCAACUCUUCUGGAAAAGAUCCCGAAAGAAGAUAACUGCUUGUUUUCUUCACCGCCACCAGUCUACCUGCUCUCUGCACACUCGGCAGAGCGCGGCAGGGCACCCCACGGAGCUGCACUAGUCACAUCCGGGCCCCACGCCGGUCGACGGCCGAUGCGAUGGAGGCACUACUCCGAGCUGGACUGGUGGCCGGCUCGGAGCUGGUGGAUGUCGACCGCGGAGCGGCGAUCUACUCCUUCCACCGGGCCCGGCAGCAGGAGCUCCAGAUGUCCUUGUGCCACCCGUCCGGCCAGGCCUCCAUCCACCUUGUAGAGGCGGAGCGGGAGACGGUGAAGCUCACGGCUCCGUUGGAACAUGGCCGCUGGGAGGCCUGCGGCGCGGACGACGGAUGCGGCAGUUGGUCAAGACACGGCAGCCUACUCGAGGUGCUUCUCGCCUGGAGGACGCAGGCGAAUCGCGUUAUCCGAGCUGUGCCUCGUCAUGGUGCGAUGAGCCUUAAUAGACUAAUGCAUAUUCUUCCUUUGGUUGUAAUUCAUUUGCUGCUGCCCGCUGGGCUAAGGAGUAACUCUGGGCGCCUACUUUGGGCAGACGCUGGUCCAGUGCCGCCUUUCGUUUGCCGCACUUAUCUUUAUUUAUUCUUUGUUACAAUUCCGUCUUUGGUCAUUUUUUUUUUUACCAUGGGGGGCACUUGAAAGUUUUGUUUUUAAAUCUGUGGACAUUGAACCUGGAAUCGGUUUUUUGUCGGAUUUCGGUUUUGUUUUUGCACUGUGGAAAUAUCUCGUUCAAUAUUUUUUUUAAGAUAGGGCGUGCUAAAACUUUUAGUCUCAUUACUCCUCUGUGCAUCUAAAUUCUAAAGUAAUAUAAUGUGCAUCUCAAGUGUUUGGUGCUGUACUGUUAUUAUUUAUGGUUAAUCCAGUGCUGUACUGUUAUUAUUUAUGGUUAAUCCAGUGCUGAUUUAUGGUUAAUCCAGUUUUUAUUCGAUUGAAUCGUUGUGUGUAAUGUGCAUGACAUCCGCGUACCGCCUGUAGCAGUGUUAUAUAUUUUCAUUUAUGCUGGAAAAUAAUAACUUUCUUGUUCA